rnacentral:lncRNA from 1 species
CGGAGCUAGAUGAUGCAGUGUUGGAUGCGAGCCUGAGAAUGCCCCAACGACUGUCACAGGUGGCGGACGAGAGCAUCAGCCGGCGAAUCCCGCGAGGCCAUCGGUGCGGUGAAGGAGAGGGGAGGGGUGCGGAUGAAAUCGCACUAGUACUCCCACAAAUCACAGAGCAUCGAUGUGCUCUGCGAUUUUUAUCAAGGAGGGAAGGAGAGGGGACAACGAUGGGUCAGGCCGCAGAGGAUGCAAGGGGCAGUCGCACGAGGUGCAGGUGGUGCGGGAGGUGCUCGGGGUGGUGCCGCAAGGGGUGGGGUGAAGGGGUCGAGGCUCGGGUUUGCGAGGGCCGGGGGAGGAAA